rnacentral:rRNA from 1 species
AUACGGAGGGUGCAAGCGUUGUCCGGAUUUAUUGGGUUUAAAGGGUGCGUAGGUGGCGUGUUAAGUCAUUGGUGAAAGCCUGCAGCUCAACUGUAGAGGUGCCAUUGAUACUGACAUGCUUGAGUAUGGACGAGGUAGGCGGAAUUUGUGGUGUAGCGGUGAAAUGCAUAGAUACCACAAAGAACACCGAUAGCGAAGGCAGCUUACUGGACCAUAACUGACACUGAGGCACGAAAGUGUGGGUAGCGAACAGGAUUAGAAACCCCAGUAGUCC